rnacentral:rRNA from 1 species
GACGAACGCUGGCGGCGCGCUUAAUACAUGCAAGUCGAGCGAGAACCAGUCCUUCGGGACUGGGGAAAGCGGCGAACGGGUGAGUAACACGUGGGUAAUCUGCCCUCGGCACUGGGAUAGCCCGGGGAAACCCGGAUUAAUACCGGAUAGCCUUUCGAGCCUUCGGGCUCGUCAGGAAAGGUGGCUUCGGCUUCCGGCUGAGGAUGAGCCCGCGGCGGAUUAGCUUGUUGGUGAGGUAAUGGCUCACCAAGGCUCCGAUCUGUAGCUGGUCUGAGAGGACGAUCAGCCACACUGGGACUGAGACACGGCCCAGACUCCUACGGGUGGCUG